GAAAUACCCUGCUCUCCUAUUCAAGCAACACCUAACUGCAUGUGUUGAGAAGAUUUACGGCAUGAUCCGAGAUAGUCUGAAGAAGGAGAUUAGUCCAUUCUUAACUAUGUGCAUACAAGCACCAAGAUCUACAAGAGCGAGAUCAGUUCGGGGAUCGUCUAAGAGCAUUCACUCCAACAUAGUAGCAAAGCAAGCAUCAAGCAUGCAUUGGCAAAGCAUAGUCAAGAGCUUGGAUCGAACUUUCGAGAUAUUGCAUGAUAAUUACGUACCUUCAAUUAU